rnacentral:lncRNA from 1 species
UAAAAUCCAAAUAUUCAAAAAAUAAUAUCUAUACCUCUAUAUCUAUAUCUAUACCUCUAUAAUAAUAAUAAUAACUAUACAUGAAUUCUCAUGGCUAAAUCCACAUGGAUGUACCACCUUCAUUUGAGGGUGGUGGAACCCACUAUUAUUUUUAAUUUUUUUAUUCGCUUUUGUUCUAGUAAAAUUAUUUUCUCUCUCACUACCACUUUUUUCAACCCUCUUUUUCUCUCCUUUUUUUCCUCACAUCUCUUUUUUAUGUCCUGAGCUAACAAAGGUAUCUCUCCCUCUUCCCUUACCUCACUUACAGAACGGUUAUGGAUCUCUCAAUGUAUAUUUCAAUUAUCUACCUAUCGUAUCGCGCAUGUUAUUUCACUAGUGUAACUCUAUUGCAA